AUGAAGCUGCCUGUCCACAUAUUGCUGCUGCCAGGAAUUCUGCUGUGUCUUCCUUGCUGUGCUGGAUUAUACCGGUUCAGAGUGCAAGUCAAAAGAAAUCCCUCUUCUGCGAAGUCACUCUUUUCAGCUGGUGGUUUUUGGAAGAAAGAUGUCUGGGGUUGCUGUGGAAGACUAGGUAGAGAAGGAUUCUAAAGCUGAGCAUGGAAAGCAACCCUGCAAUCUCGAAAUCUAGUGGACACACCGUAAUCUUGGCAUCUAGAAGCCACUGGAAGAAACCAGUGAAAACAUCAGUGUCCGUGACUGUCGACUGAGUGCAUGCAGAAACAACAUCUUCAGAUAAUCUGCAGUUAUCUAAAUACACCUUGAAAGCAGAGAGGACCGAUGGCUACAAGCAGAAACAGAAAUACGCGACCUCCUGAGGGGAACAUGUUGUUCUUGAAGAGAAGGAAAAUAAAAACGGGGGAUGGGGAGCAAAUAUUAUUUUGUUUCUAUAUCGGAGAACAAAAAUGUGUGAUAGUUUUCACUUUUCUGAUCAUUCCCAAUAAUCUGCGGCCUGUAAAUUUUUUGCCUUGGGUGGAAGUUUUGAAUAGGUAUGUUGGUCCGCUUUAAUUUGCUGUUGAAGAUUAAAAUUGUACUGAAGUAGAUGAAUUCCAAACUUUAAUUAAAUUUGAGUUAGGCAGGUAUAUAUGAAUUGCACAGAGAACUCCUGGAAUUUUUUUGUUUUUGUUUUUGUUUGUUUGCUUGCUUUUUUUUUUUUUUUGUAGGAG